GAAUUCACUAGUGAUUCAGGCCUAACACAUGCAAGUCGAACGGCAGCACGGGAGCAAUCCUGGUGGCGAGUGGCGAACGGGUGAGUAAUAUAUCGGAACGUGCCCAGUCGUGGGGGAUAACGCAGCGAAAGCUGUGCUAAUACCGCAUACGAUCUAUGGAUGAAAGCGGGGGAUCGCAAGACCUCGCGCGAUUGGAGCGGCCGAUAUCAGAUUAGCUAGUUGGUGGGGUAAAGGCCCACCAAGGCGACGAUCUGUAGCUGGUCUGAGAGGACGACCAGCCACACUGGAACUGAGACACGGUCCAGACUCCUACGGGAGGCAGCAGUGGGGAAUUUUGGACAAUGGGCGCAAGCCUGAUCCAGCAAUGCCGCAUGCAGGAUGAAGGCCUUCGGGUUGUAAACUGAAGGGUACGGAACGAAACGGCCCUUUCUAAUACAAGGGGCUAAUGACGGUACCGAAGAAUA
rnacentral:rRNA from 1 species